AGAGUUUGAUCCUGGCUCAGAGCGAACGCUGGCGGCAGGCUUAACACAUGCAAGUCGAGCGCUCGUAGCAAUACGAGAGCGGCAGACGGGUGAGUAACGCGUGGGAACAUGCCCUUCGGUUCGGAAUAACCCAGGGAAACUUGGGCUAAUACCGAAUACGUCCGUGAGGAGAAAGAUUUAUCGCCGAAGGAUUGGCCCGCGUCGGAUUAGCUAGUUGGUGAGGUAACGGCUCACCAAGGCGAUGAUCCGUAGCUGGUCUGAGAGGACGAUCAGCCACACUGGGACUGAGACACGGCCCAGACUCCUACGGGAGGCAGCAGUGGGGAAUAUUGGACAAUGGGGGAAACCCUGAUCCAGCCAUGCCGCGUGCGGGAAGAAGGCCUUCGGGUUGUAAACCGCUUUUGGUCGGAAAGAAAAGGCGCCACCUAAUACGGGGCGUUCUUGGCGGUACCGGCAGAAUAAGCACCGGCUAACUACGUGCCAGCAGCCGCGGUAAUACGUAGGGUGCGAGCGUUAAUCGGAAUUACUGGGCGUAAAGCGUGCGCAGGCGGUUCUCCAAGUCCGUUGUGAAAGCCCCGGGCUCAACCUGGGAAUGGCAGUGGAAACUAGGGGACUUGAAUCUGGCAGAGGGGGGUGGAAUUCCACGUGUAGCAGUGAAAUGCGUAGAGAUGUGGAGGAACACCGAUGGCGAAGGCAGCCCCCUGGGCUGAGAUUGACGCUCAGGCACGAAAGCGUGGGGAGCAACAGGAUUAGAUACCCUGGUAGUCC
rnacentral:rRNA from 1 species